AUUGAACGCUGGCGGCAUGCUUUACACAUGCAAGUCGAACGGUAACAGGCCUUCGGGCGCUGACGAGUGGCGAACGGGUGAGUAAUGCAUCGGAACGUGCCCAGUCGUGGGGGAUAACGCAGCGAAAGCUGUGCUAAUACCGCAUACGAUCUGCGGAUGAAAGCGGGGGACCUUCGGGCCUCGCGCGAUUGGAGCGGCCGAUGUCAGAUUAGGUAGUUGGUGGGGUAAAGGCUCACCAAGCCAACGAUCUGUAGCUGGUCUGAGAGGACGACCAGCCACACUGGGACUGAGAGACAGCCCAGACUCCUACGGGAGGCAGCAGUGGGGAAUUUUGGACAAUGGGCGCAAGCCUGAUCCAGCAAUGCCGCGUGCAGGAAGAAGGCCUUCGGGUUGUAAACUGCUUUUGUACGGAGCGAAAAGGCUCCCUCUAAUACAGGGGGCUCAUGACGGUACCGUAAGAAUAAGCACCGGCUAACUACGUGCCAGCCGCCGCGGUAAGAC
rnacentral:rRNA from 1 species